rnacentral:lncRNA from 1 species
UUGUGCCAUGCUACAAAGCUACUGCAACUUCGUCAUCUGAAUAUUUGAAAAUUUAGGUCACAUCAUAUAAAGCCUGAAUUGCAGGUAAGGCUUAAUAUACUAUUAUUUUUUUAUGUAACUUAAUGUUUGUUGUGAUAACUUAAUUGCAAUAUUUGGCAUUCUAGGAUGGUGGUGUCUCUUAGAUGUGUGUGCAUGGAAGUUACAUUGCAGCUACAAUGUCUGCCGCAUUUGCCCUUAAAGCCAUCUUUUAGUUUCAGGAGUGGAACAAUGCGAAGCAAACACAUCCUUUUGCAUGGCAUCAGUUGGACCGAACCGGGAGGCUUCGAACUGAGAGGAUGGCUUCAAAUCGUCCAGGCAGUGCCGGUUAGCACCUCUUUCUCCUUUGCUCGAGUUGCGAAGAGUUUCCAAAUUCAAACGCAGCAGGUGGCAUCGGCACUGUAUUUCUCAAGAAGAAAAAAAUGUUCUUGUAUGUAUUCCUACCACAAGAAAUCCAACAGUACUUCUGGGCAUCACAUGCAAGCUUCCCCUUUUCACCUUCCAACUUAGCUAUCCACCUUUCUUCAAUUUUGUAUAUAUUUGUCGGUGUUGUUCUUGACCAUUAUGAGGUAUGUAUCAAGUAAAUUUUGUGCUUUGUCUAUCGAUGGACAGAAAUUUCAGGAGUUUGUCUUAGAAAUUUCCAUUAUACAUAGGUUGCAUGUCCUAAGCACUGUAAUUGAAGCUUGGCACCGGCAUGGCGCAUUGGGAUUUUAUGAAAGAAUUGAAGUAGAAGAUAGGCUGAGUAUUAGAAGUUGCCCAUUCCAUUGGCUGAAACCAGUCAAAUACCAUUCAAUCAUAUUAUCUCCAUAUCUUUUUAAAUAAUUAUGUAGCCAUUUCAGGAAGAAUACUGAAGUAUAUGUACACGAAUGA